AGGCGGUCCCCUCGCAACGAUAGGUAGUGAAGCCCGCCAGGCCCGGAAGGGAGCAACGGUAGUU
rnacentral:SRP_RNA from 1 species